GCUGGUGUGUGUGUCUUUCAU
rnacentral:misc_RNA from 1 species